AUCUGUAUGGCUUCAUAACCUUUGUUCCUUUGACCAUUUUGAAAUUUACCAUGAUAUUAUCUCCUUGGUAUUUAACGAGAAAAAAGUUAAUCAAAAUGAUACAAACAUUAAAAGCUCUUGUGGUGUCAAUUGGUGUGGUAGCCGCUUAUCAUUAUUACGUUACUAAAUAAUAAGCUUAUUGAUCUGUUGUUAAAAAUUCGAAAUUCUCCAUCAAAUAUGGAUAGAAUAGAACAGUUGAAAUUGAUAUUACUGGUCAUAUCAAUGGGGUCCAUCGUGCAUUAUACGUAUGGUAUUUACAAACCUCCAACAACACCAUUGAUGAAAUACGAAGAUAGGAAGCCUACCCCUAUUAUAGAUGAUAGCGAGACAGCGACGUUACAAGGCUAGGAAAAUUAAGAAAAUUUAAAACUAUUUGAAAUAAAUAUUCGUUACUA